rnacentral:rRNA from 1 species
UACGGAGGAUGCGAGCGUUAUCCGGAUUUAUUGGGUUUAAAGGGUGCGCAGGCGGCGCGCUAAGUCAGCGGUGAAAGUUUGCAGCUUAACUGUAAAAUUGCCAUUGAUACUGGUGUGCUUGAAUAUGGUAGAGGUAGGCGGAAUGUGUAGUGUAGCGGUGAAAUGCUUAGAUAUUACACAGAACACCCAUUGCGAAGGCAGCUUACUAUGCCAUUAUUGACGCUGAGGCACGAAAGCGUGGGGAGCGAGCAGGAUUAGAUACCCUGGUAGUCCACGCCGUAAACGAUGAUUACUGGUUGUGCGCGAUACACAGUGCGCGACUGAGGGAAACCAUUAAGUAAUCCACCUGGGGAGUACGUUCGCAAGAAUGAA